AACGAACGCUGGCGGCGUGGAUAAGACAUGCAAGUCGAGCGGGAUUUCUUUUGGUAGCAAUACCGAAGGAAGUCUAGCGGCGAACGGGUGCUUAACACGUGGGCAACCUGCCAAGAAGUGGGGGAUAGCUCGCCGAAAGGCGAAUUAAUACCGCAUGUGAUUAGAGAGGACAUCCUUUCGAAAUUAAAGUCGGGGCAACCUGACGCUUUUUGUGGGGCCCGCGGCCUAUCAGCUAGUUGGUGAGGUAACGGCCCACCAAGGCUUUGACGGGUAGCUGGUCUGAGAGGACGACCAGCCACACUGGGACUGAGACACGGCCCAGACACCUACGGGUGGCAGCAGUCGAGAAUUUUUGACAAUGGGGGAAACCCUGAUCGAGCGACGCCGCGUGGAGGAUGAAGGUCUUCGGAUUGUAAACUCCUGUCAUUGGGGAACAAGGUGCAUACGUUAACUGCGUGUGCAUUGAUAGUACCCGAAGAGGAAGAGACGGCUAACUCUGUGCCAGCAGCCGCCGUAAGAC
rnacentral:rRNA from 1 species